GUCUCUGUUGUUUUUAAAUAAAAAAAAAAAAAACUGAUUUUGCUUUUAUCCAUAACAGAAAAGGUAAGUUUGUGGGCUGGCUUCUUAGAAAAGACUCAGAAUGGUUUACAUAAAUGUGUCCUUUGAAAUGCCUAAGUGCAAUAAUCAAAGAAAAUCGAAAAUUAAAUUUCCAUAUGAAAACUGAUCCAGUCAACUAAAAUUACUGCAAAGCUAAGGCAUCCAUCAUUACUUUGAGCAAAGGGCUAGUGCCCCCAAACCCACGUAUGAUUUUAUACACCCAUAGCUCCAUAUUCGGGGAUUUGGCUCAGCUGGUGGGUGCACGUGGCAAUAAAGAGGCCAGCCAACUCCACAGAGAGCUGCCAGGUUAACCCUGGGCUGUGGGCAGAGCUAAUAAAAAACAGGCACACCAGCCCAAACCCCAGACACACACAAAACCCAGCCUCAACUAUUUUAAUGUUUUCUUUCUUCUAUUUAUUUUUCCUGUUUUUUUCCUUUCUCCUUGUAAGAGUCCUCAGAAAUCUUUUUCCAGUUCCGUUCCAGAGGAAAAGAAGACAUUAUAAAAAUUAAAAAGGACAGUUGAGGUUUACAGAUAAGCUUAUCUUUGAGCUAAGAGUCUGAGGAUGUGAACCUAGCAAACAAUUGUCAUCAUAAUUAUUGUUCACAAUAAUCAGAAGAGAAGGAAUGGGAAAUGCCUGCUUCUAACAUCUCUUUUCUACCUAAGUAAUGAAUGUAUGUUGUCUCCCUCUUUAUCAUAAACUGACAUAUGUUUUAAUGUAUAUGUAUUUUUCUAGUUACAUAUUUUUAAAAAGAAACAAAAGACAAAAACAAAACAAAGGCAAAAAUACUGGCUCUCAAGCAGAAAAUAUUUAAAAGGCUAUAAAAGGCAUGGAGUAGAAGAAAUAAAAAGGUAACCAAAGUAAGAGUGAAAUCUAUCAACUUCAUGCUUUUCCUUCUAAGUCUGGAGUAGUAGGUAAGGGGCAGUGACACCAACAGGGCUUGUGAUCCCACACACCUAAUAUCAUUCACGCAGAGUUUAGAGGUAGUUUAGUACUGUAAAAAAAAGUAUGACUUUGAAAUUAAAAACUCCCUAGCUCAAAUCCAAGCUCCACUGUUUAUGAGUUCUGUGGUCUCAGGCAAGUUACAUUUCUCUCACCCCUUUCUGUACAAAAAAGAAUAUUCCUUACUUUUAGGAUGAUUGUGGCAAUUAAUAGAAGUUUUAAAUUUUAAGAUUCUAGAUGGUAUUUUGCAUGUAAUAUGAUAUGAACUAAUAUAACGCGCAGCCCUCAUGAAAGGGAUUAUCUUUAUAAUAAGAUAGAAGAGAGCUUGCUUCACCCUGGUGUACACCAUAUGAUGAUACAGCAAGAAGGUGGCCUCCUGCCAACCAAGAAGAGAGCCCUCACAAGAACUCAACCAUGCUGGCACCCUGAUCUCAGACUUCAGUCUCCAGAGCUGUGACAGCAUAAACUUCUGUUUAAGCCGCCUAGCAUUCUAGUAGCCACCCGUCUCUAGUAUCCUUCAGAGCAGCCCAAAUGGACUAAGACAUAAUAGGUACAUAAUAAACAAUAGCUAUCAUUCUGGCUGUUUUUUGGUAUUUGGCAAUCUGGUAAAUAAAUAGCAGAAAGUAAGACUCUCAUUAAUUGGUGAACUCAUUUUGAUUUAUCGAGAUGAGAAAUUGGUUAAUGGGUGCAAUGCAUGUUAUUCAGAUGAUGGAUACCCUAAAAGCCCUGACUUCACCACUACUUAGUUCUACACAUGUAACACAAUUGAACAUGUACCCCAUCCAUUUGUACAAAUAAAAAAAAGAUUGUAACAAAUCCAACAAGCAGGUACAAUAUUCCAUACUUUUAAAAUUUUUGUGCAAAGUUUCCGGACCUUGUCACUAUCUAGAAAAAAUAACUGAUUUGAUGAGCCAUCAUGGCAGGUGAGUAGUGGGGAGGGCCUGCACUGAACAGGAGAAAGAUGGCACAGAGGGAAGGGCACUGGGCUAUGGGAAGGUGCAAGACCUGGGUUCUGGUCUCACCACUGCUAUCCCGUGAAAGUCACUUAACCAUCUGAAUGGCAGCACCUCCUCUAUAAACAAAAAUAGCAUAGUAGAUCCUUCCCACUCAGGGCUAAUGGAUGAAGCUGGGGAUUCCAC
rnacentral:lncRNA from 10 species